CAUGCAAGUCGAGCGGGGAUUAUCGAAUGAAGUUUUCGGAUGGAAUUUGGUAAUUCUAGCGGCGGACGGGUGAGUAACGCGUGAGCAACCUGCCUUUCACAGGGGGAUAACGCAUCGAAAGGUGCACUAAUACCGCAUGAGACCACGCUCCCGACAUGAGAGAGGGGUCAAAGGAGCAAUCCGGUGAGAGAUGGGCUCGCGUCUGAUUAGCUGGUUGGUGAGGUAACGGCCCACCAAGGCGACGAUCAGUAGCCGACCUGAGAGGGUGAUCGGCCACAUUGGAACUGAGAGACGGUCCAAACUCCUACGGGAGGCAGCAGUGGGGAAUAUUGGGCAAUGGGGGAAACCCUGACCCAGCAACGCCGCGUGAAGGAAGAAGGUUUUCGGAUCGUAAACUUCUAUCCUUGGUGAAAAUAAUGAUGGUAGCCAAGAAGGAAGCCCCGGCUAACUACGUGCCAGCAGCCGCGGUAAUACGUAGGGGGCAAGCGUUGUCCGGAAUGAUUGGGCGUAAAGGGCGCGUAGGCGGCCUGGUAAGUUUGAAGUGAAAGUCCUUCUUUUAAGGAGGGAACUGCUUUGAAAACUGUCGGGCUUGAGUGCAGGAGAGGUAAGCGGAAUUCCCGGUGUAGCGGUGAAAUGCGUAGAGAUCGGGAGGAACACCAGUGGCGAAGGCGGCUUACUGGACUGUUACUGACGCUGAGGCGCGAAAGUGUGGGGAGCAAACAGGAUUAGAUACCCUGGUAGUCCACACUGUAAACGAUGAAUGCUAGGUGUAGGGGGUAUCGACCCC
rnacentral:rRNA from 1 species